rnacentral:rRNA from 1 species
AUUGAACGCUGGCGGAAUGCUUUACACAUGCAAGUCGAACGGCAGCACGGAGAGCUUGCUCUCUGGUGGCGAGUGGCGAACGGGUGAGUAAUAUAUCGGAACGUGUCCAAUAAUGGGGGAUAACGAGUCGAAAGAUUCGCUAAUACCGCAUACGCCCUACGGGGGAAAGCAGGGGAUCGUAAGACCUUGCGUUAAUGGAGCGGCCGAUAUCUGAUUAGCUAGUUGGUGAGGUAAAGGCUCACCAAGGCGACGAUCAGUAGCUGGUUUGAGAGAACGACCAGCCACACUGGAACUGAGACACGGUCCAGACUCCUACGGGAGGCAGCAGUGGGGAAUUUUGGACAAUGGGGGCAACCCUGAUCCAGCCAUUCCGCGUGAGUGAAGAAGGCCUUCGGGUUGUAAAGCUCUUUCGCAAGGGAAGAAAACUUAUGAUCGAAUAAAUCAUGAGGUUGACGGUACCUUGAUAAGAAGCACCGGCUAACUACGUGCCAGCAGCCGCGGUAAUACGUAGGGUGCGAGCGUUAAUCGGAAUUACUGGGCGUAAAGCGUGCGCAGGCGGUUUUGUAAGUCGGAUGUGAAAUCCCCGGGCUCAACCUGGGAACUGCGUUCGAAACUGCAAGGCUAGAGUGUGUCAGAGGGGGGUAGAAUUCCACGUGUAGCAGUGAAAUGCGUAGAGAUGUGGAGGAAUACCAAUGGCGAAGGCAGCCCC